rnacentral:lncRNA from 1 species
CUGCAGGAAUGGCUUCAGGGUAGAAGAUCUUCAUUCAGCCCAAUGCAGGCAGUUUUAUGGCACACCUGUACUCCAAUGUGGUGAUGUUCUCCAUGUGGUAAUGCCACUGCCUCACGGGGAGACGGGGAAUGGCUCUGCCUAUCAGCCAUGUGGGUGGGAGUCAUCAUGGUGGUGUUGGCUGCUUGGGUGGGCCCAAACUCAGGCCCAAGGAGGAGUCAGGUGACAGCGAUGUUGGACUGGGCUAGGUAAUUCCCAAACUCCCACACGUCUCAGUGACCCACUAGAUGGCAUGUAGGAGUCCUGAUGUGACUGGACCAGGAUCCAGCCAGCCCAGAGUUCAGGUGCUGGCUGUGAUAGGGAGGGGUGGGCUGGUCUCCUGGAGCCUGAGAACAGAUCACAGGACUCUGGGGGCUGGGCAUUCCCAAGGGCUCCAGGCCACAGCUGCAAUGUUCAGGCGUAGCAGGGUGGCUGUGCUGUGCACUUUUCACUCAGGAAGGUAGGACCCUUCAGCUGGGACAAUGAGCAAUGGCAGUUGUUGGGCUCAUGGCCCACUCACACUUCUCUCCCAAAGCUGGAUUUUGCUGUUAGGAGCUCAGGAAGGUACCUGAACUUCUUGUUCCCUCCCUGGCCUGGGGCAGCAGAGGCAAGCCUGUGGUGGAAAGGGUUAAUGGGCAGCCUCUGGGGGUUGGGCUCUCAGAGGAACACUGAGCUGUGGCUGUCAUGCUCAGGCAGGGGUGGGCGGUGGCACUGGCAACCUGUCACCAAAGCAGGCAAGUCGCAUUUGACAGAGAGGAGCGGCAGAGGGAAGCCAUGCAGAGCAUCGUCUACCCACUCCUCCUUACCACAGCUGCAAUAUCUGUCUUUGGGGCACAUGAAAGUGCCCAGUUCCCCUUCAUGGUGGGCAGCAGUGGCUGCACCAGGCAAAUCAGGGAUGAAAAGCCUGUGGGAUCCAUGUAGGCUUGAGCAGUGCCUCUGCACCAUCUCCAGCAGGCUCCCUGUGUUCAUCUGGAGGCCUGGGGGCAAUGAUGGGGCUCCCUGUG